UCGAAUCCUGAUAAGCRACGACCCGAGAACAUGUUUAUCGCACNGGCAUUGGGACGAGGGAAACCGCGUACCGAUGCCCCGANCAUSACGUSACCACCCGGUCGCUCGUCGUGCAAACAACCAACCCCGCGCAGAAACGCGCCAAGGAAAACUUAAAAAGGAUUGUCUGCCCCUCGUCGUGCCGUAUGCGGUGCGCACGGGAGGACCACAGACGCCUAAAGAAACA
rnacentral:rRNA from 1 species